UUGCAAUGUGCAGCUGGUUUUCAUAUUUGUCAGGAGUCUAACACAAAAUAAUUUUGCUCUCUUUGUGCGUUAGGAUUCUAUGAGCUCAUUCUUUAGAUAACUGCUUCACCACUUUGUGUUUUGGCCCCUGCAUGUAUCUAGGUGAUAAAACCUCUUUUGCAUAAGUUUCAAAGUCUCCUGAUUGCUCUGAGAAGCAAUCCACCUUUUGAAACCUCUGGAAUGUAUGAAACAGGAAAGAAGAAAUCUGUGACAAGUUAUAACAGCCAAGGUUAAUUUUGAAGCUGUGUGUGUGUUUACUGCCUCUUAGGGGAGUAUCUCGCUGUUUUGCAUGCUGCUUACUUGUUUCUGGAGCUGAAGAAACACUGCUUAAAAGGAUUAAUUUGGCAGGCACUCCUGAGACUUUAGAAGCGCUUCAGAAGCAGAUAUUUCAAUUGGAGCUUUUAGCAGCAGAAACAUCACAGGCUGUACAUCGUGUUCCUCACACGCCCAGAUCCCUUUCAUCUGAGCAGUUCAGGUUCAGAUUGUGUAUGCAGUGCUCAGCUCUCAUCACAGUCUCCUGUUCAGAAGUUCUACGCCUGCUACACCAGAGUCUCUCAAACAGCAGUACUGGGGUGCUCAGGGCUUGUCCACAGAGUGCUCCCUAAGCAUCUGAGUUGCGUGGGUAGGAAGCUCCUACUUUUAUUUCUCUUUCUGUUAACAGCGGCUUUAUUCCAAACUUAUUUUAAGUUUGUUCUCUACCACUGUCCUAGAUCACAUUUAUUUUGGCAAAUCCUCCUUACCAGUGCUAUGCAGUUUCUUUUUUUUUUUUUCACAUUUACCUUUUAAUUAGGCAUAUCUGUAUAUUCUACAAGUAAUAUAUUUUUCAGGAUCUGUACAAUAUAUUAUAGAUAUAUCAUGAUACUUGUGGGCCAGUGCAAGGCAAAAGAAAUAGAGGAAGAAAAGGACUAAAAAGGACUACCUGUCUAAGAUGCAACACUGCUAAUUUCAUUCAUUUCCAUGAAGAAAAUGACCUUGUGAAGGUUGUGAAGGUUUUUAUUUGGGGCUGGGUCAUAGUUUGACACUAAAUGAGCCAGUAAGGAGUCUUUCUUUCAGUGACUCUCUGCAAACUACAUUAAUUCUACUUUUAGAGACAGAAAUUUCUGAAUCUUCCAGGCCAUAUGUUUAGCUUACAACCUCAUUUGUUAUCAGGCAUGACAGGUCUAUUUAAUAUCCUUUUACUGUGUAGUACAGAUGUGAAAACUGCUAUUGCUGAAGAGGUGAGACAGUGUUAUGCACCAACAGAGCUUCCCUCCAUUUUUAUAGGAAUUCUCUGAGUGCUCUGCAGUGACCAGUGCAUGAGGAAGCUUAGACUUAAAUCACGUAUUGGUGAAGAAUACUGGAAAGCUUUUCCUCCACAAGCAGAUCUACCAGGAGGAAAUUUGUUUUGUUUGGUGGACAAGGUUGUUGUCAUAGGUUAGCAAGCAUAGUCCCGGAAGGGACGUC